CCGACCUUAGCUCAGUUGGUAGAGCGGAGGACUGUAGAUCCUUAGGCCGCUGGUUCGAAUCCGGCAGGUCGGA
rnacentral:tRNA from 1 species